rnacentral:rRNA from 1 species
CACGUAGGGUGCGAGCGUUGUCCGGAAUUCUUGGGCGUAAAGAGCUCGUAGGCGGUGUGUCGCGUCGGCCGUGAAAACCUGCAGCUUAACUGUGGGCUUGCGGUCGAUACGGGCAUCACUGGAGUUCGGCAGGGGAGACUGGAAUUCCUGGUGUAGCGGUGAAAUGCGCAGAUAUCAGGAGGAACACCGGUGGCGAAGGCGGGUCUCUGGGCCGAUACUGACGCUGAGGAGCGAAAGCGUGGGGAGCGAACAGG